GACAUUUUGAAUCUUUCAUUAUGAUUAAAAAUUAGAGUUUCUUAUUAAUCUUAAAUUAUUUAAUAAAUGGUUUAAAAAAAAUAAAAGAAAUUUGUUUUUAGUAUUAUAUUGUGGCUAAUGAAAGAGUUAAAAAGUCCUUCCAGUCAGUUGCAACAACAAUUAAAGCAGCAGGAAACAGCCAAGUACACAUGCAAGUGAUAUGAUUCUAAUAGUUGAACAUCUGUCAGAUAUUUACCUUUUAAAUCAUAAUCUAAUUGCUCAAGCUUCUGAAAAGCUAUUUAUA
rnacentral:lncRNA from 1 species